rnacentral:rRNA from 1 species
AUUGAACGCUGGCGGCAGGCUUAACACAUGCAAGUCGAGCGGAGCGAGGGUGCUUGCACCUUAGCUUAGCGGCGGACGGGUGAGUAAUGCUUAGGAAUCUGCCUAUUAGUGGGGGACAACAUUCCGAAAGGGAUGCUAAUACCGCAUACGCCCUACGGGGGAAGGCAGGGGAUCUUCGGACCUUGCGCUAAUAGAUGAGCCUAAGUCGGAUUAGCUAGUUGGUGGGGUAAAGGCCUACCAAGGCGACGAUCUGUAGCGGGUCUGAGAGGAUGUCCGCCACACUGGGACUGAGACACGGCCCAGACUCCUACGGGAGGCAGCAGUGGGGAAUAUUGGACAAUGGGGGGAACCCUGAUCCAGCCAUGCCGCGUGUGUGAAGAAGGCCUUUUGGUUGUAAAGCACUUUAAGCGAGGAGGAGGCGCUCUAGGAUAAUACCCUAGAUGCGUGGACGUACUCGCAGAAUAAGCCC